AGCGAACAGGAUAAGAUACCCGGGUAGUCCACGCCGUAAACGAUGAGUGCUAAGUGUAAGGGGGUUUCCGCCCCUAAGUGCUGAGCAAACGCAUAAGCACUCCGCCUGGGGAGUACGGUCGCAAGACUGAAACUCAAAGGAAUGGACGGGGGCCCGCACAAGCGGUGGAGCAUGUGGUUAAUUCGAAGAACGCGAAGAACCUUACCAGGUCUGGACAUCCUCUGACAACCCAAGAGAUAGGGCUUUCCCUUGGGGGAAAGAGUGACAGGUGGUGCAUGGUGUGUCAGCUCGUGUCGUGAGAUGUUGGGUUAAGUCCCGCAACGAGCGCAACCCUUGAUCUUAGUUGCCAGCAUUUAGUUGGGCACUUAAGGUGACUGCCGGU
rnacentral:rRNA from 1 species